CCCAUCCCAAAAUACAUAUUUUGCAAUGACAUCUCUUUAUCUAUCCUGCGCCACCACCAACACCGCCAUCUCCGCCACCCCCUCCUCCCACCCCCGCCCACUCCUCCCUAAGCCAUCACAUUCACAUUUCAUCACCCAUGCAAAGCUCACCAAUCGCCUCCACCAUGUUUCUUGCUCCUCCACCCCUCAAAACCAAAACGACGAGACGAAGAAACCAACCGCAAAGGUCGUCGACAGGAGGAACAUGCUCGUCGGCAUGGGCGGACUUUACGGCGCCACCACCCUAGCCUCCACUCCAUCCGCCGCGGCGAACCCCAUACAGGCGCCGGAGCUGAACAAGUGCGGCACGGCCACCAACUUGAACAACGGGGAGAAACUCGACAUCAACUGCUGCCCCCCGAUAUCCGACCGAAUCAUCGACUACAAACUCCCCCCCGUCUUCCAGAUGAAAAUCCGUCCCUCCGCCCACCGCGUAUCCCCCGAGUACAUGUUCAAGUUCAACACCGCCAUCGACCGCAUGAAGCGCCUCCCGAAAGACGAUCCGCGUAACUUCAUGCAGCAAGCGAACAUCCACUGCGCGUACUGCAACGGCGCGUACGAUCAGCCGGGGCAGGGCACACUCGACCUCCAAAUCCACAACUCAUGGCUCUUCUUCCCCUUCCACAGAUGGUAUCUAUACUUCUACGAAAGAAUCCUCGGGAAACUCAUCGGAGAUCCCACCUUCGCCUUGCCCUUCUGGAACUGGGACAACCCUAAAGGCAUGACAAUGCCCCCCAUGUUCGUUGACCCCAAAUCCUCCCUCUACGACAAGAAGCGCAACCAGGAACACCUGCCGCCGGCGGUGGUGGAUCUCGGCCUUACGAACAGCACCGACACUCUCCAGGUGGUGGCCAACAACCUCACCAUCAUGUACAGCGAGAUGAUCCGCGGCAACUCCGACGCCAACGACUUCAUGGGGCAGGCUUACCGCGAGGGUGACGAGAGCUCGGCCAAGGCGGCGGGUUCCUCGGAGCGUGGCUCCCACACAUCCGUCCACGCGUGGGUUGGAGAUUUCAAGGAUCAGCCCAGCGGUGAAGACAUGGGGAACUUCUACUCCGCCGGGCGGGACCCGCUAUUCUACAGCCACCACGCCAACGUGGACCGCAUGUGGACGCUGUGGCAGUACUUCCUCCCGAGCAACAAAGUCCCCGACAAGAGGAUAACCGACACUGAUUUCUUGAACACUGCUUUCUUAUUCUACGACGAGAACGCGCAGUUGGUGCGCGUUACGGUGAAGGACUGCCUGGACAACUUACGAAUGGGAUACGAUUUCGAGAGGAUCGAUCUUCCGUGGCUGGACUACAGACCGCCGCGGCAGUCGGCUAGGGCGAAGAUCAACAGGGCAAGCUCCACCGCCGCACCCAAGGCGGCGGCGCUGUUCCCUCUGACGCUUGACGGAGUGGUGAGGUUCCAGGUGGACAAGACGAAGAAGGGGAAAGCAGACGAGUCUCUGGUGCUCGAGGAUAUCAAGGUCGACACGACGAAGCUGCUCAAGUUUGACGUGUUUGUGAACGACGAGGACGAUAACCCCGGCGAGCUCGACAAGGCCGCGUACUUGGGCACGUACGCGCAGGUGCCGCAUAAAUCUGCGAACAAUAAUAGUUCGACAUCUUCCAUUAAGCUGAAGCUGACUGAGCUCUACGAUGACAUGGAUAUCGAUGACGACGACACAAUCGUGGUGACGCUGGUGCCGAGGCAUCAAGGCCCGGUGUUACCAUUGGUGGUAUCAAGAUUGUCGAGAAUCCACCGAAACCGGCUGCCGGUAGUACUUGAUCAUUAGUUUUAAUUAAUUGAUGCAUGAUUUCCACAUGCAUGCUCGUGUUUGCUAGCUUCCGAUCGUUUUCCUAUGUUUCUGAUCGAUGUGUGAAAUAAGGUUUCCUUGCGCUGUGAAAUCGUGUGUGAUAUGAUCUCGUGUUUUCAUUUCCGCAAGUUGUUUGAUUAUGGAUCUUCGUUUCGUGAUUUCCGAAUAAAUUAUGUUGCACUGAUAAUUAGUUUUGUGUUACGUGUUACAUUUAAAUU